AGAUUGAACGCUGGCGGCAGGCCUAACACAUGCAAGUCGAGCGGCAGCACGGGUACUUGUACCUGGUGGCGAGCGGCGGACGGGUGAGUAAUGCCUAGGAAUCUGCCUGGUAGUGGGGGAUAACGCUCGGAAACGGACGCUAAUACCGCAUACGUCCUACGGGAGAAAGCAGGGGACCUUCGGGCCUUGCGCGAAUGGAGCGGCCGAUGGCAGAUUAGGUAGUUGGUGAGGUAAGGCUCACCAAGCCUUCGAUCUGUAGCUGGUCUGAGAGGACGACCAGCCACACUGGGACUGAGACACGGCCCAGACUCCUACGGGAGCAGCAGUGGGGAAUUUGGACAAGUGGGCGAAAGCC
rnacentral:rRNA from 1 species